ensembl:lncRNA
CUAGCUAUGCCACUGAUCGUUCUCAUCAAAGGAAGAGAUGUUUCAGAGUGGAAGAUCUGUGCCACGACACAAUCCUGUCUCCAUGGACAAUUCCUUCGACCUCAUGGCUUGGUUUUUGCUCUGACAUGCACUAUCAACUGUGGGACCUUAUAUAAACAGGUGGACUCCAGGCAUCCAGAAACAUCUCAAGGAUGAUCAAUGGAAACAGGAUGCACCUGAGCUCAACUUAAAGUCUCAUAGGAAAGGGUCUGAAUACUUAUAAGAGUACUCGGGCCAAUGCUGCUUAUUUGCAGAAGUCAUCUAUCCUCCGUUCCCCAAGUCAGUCAACCCUUCAAUUUUAUAUAGAGGUUUUGGAUUGGAGGCAAUUUUCUGAGAUUUUAUCUAGUUCAGUUCUGAUGCCACCCAUACAGACAGCACACACAAAUACAGUAGCAGGCGAGUCUUGGAUACAAUUAUAUUCUAGAAAAUUCUGUGCUUCCAAAUUUGUGGCAACAGUCUGGGGAAGAUCCUUUCCUGUUUUAGAAUAACAAUGCCCCUGUGUACAAAGCGAGGUCCAUACAGAAAUGGUUAGUAGAGAUCUGUGUGGAAGAACUUGACUGGCCUGCACAGAGCCCUGACCUCAACCCCAUCGAACACCUUUGGGAUGAAUUGGAACGCCGACUGCAAGCCAGGCCUAAUCACUCAACAUCAGUGCUCGACCUCACUAAUGCUCUUGUGGCUGAAUGGAAGCAAGUCCCCCCAGCAAUGUUCUAGUGGAAAGCCUUCCCAGAAGAGUGGAGGUUGUUGUAGCUGCAAAGGGGGACCAACUCCAAAAAUGAUGCAGAAAAAGUAUCCAUGCUUUUGUCACUUCUAUAUUAGAUUACUGCAAUGC